ensembl:lncRNA
AAGCAAACCAGCUGGAUCACACGCAGGUGGGCAGCACUGGGAUGCUCUGUGCACUGAAAUGCUCGUGGAAAGUGCCGGGGAUUGUGCACAGGAGAAGCCUCCUCCCCUGCCCAGACCCUGCACAACGCUCCUGUUGCAGUCCCACAGUGGGGGCUGGGGAACAGCUGGAGCAGGCUGGGCUGCAGAGCAAACCUCAGAGCAGCCCCUUUGGGUUGGUUUUUAAUCGAGAAGGAACAUGUCUGCACCGAGCGAGUGUGGCGCGGUGACACGGCUGCCUGCAUCUCGGGGGCAGUCCCUGAAAGCGGAGCCCCAGCAUUACCAGAACUGAGGAAGGGAUGCAGAGAGCAUCCACAGGAGCCCUGCAAGAAGUCCGGAAGAAAGGGAGGAGAAAUAAAAGGCCCCAUGCAGCAGGAAGGGAUUUUCUUAUCCUUUUUGCUUUUCUUGCCACUAUCUGGAGCACACGUUUGGGGAUGGAGGACAGUGCAGUGACUGCUGAUCCAAGCAGUGUUCCAGCGCCUUCAGGAGGUGGCAAGAGAAGACACAGGAGGCUGGGGACACAAGGGGUUGGAGUCACAAGAGAGCCUCUCAGGGCAGAUGGAAGGAGAACGCCUCCGCUGUGGUCAGUCCCUGAAGACAAAGUGGAUGCUGCUGGCACACUGGAAUGACGGCACGGGUUUGCUGACGGUUUUGCAUGGGAGCAUCGGUUGGGUUUACACCUACAAGUGCUUGGCUAUGGCAGCGGGGCAUCCCAUGGAAAGGCCAAAAAGCAGCAGAGAGAUCCAGGGAAGGAGGAGAUGGCACACGCUGCAAGCCUGUUCUCUGCCAGCGACGCUGCUGGGAGCACGGACACCCAUAGUGGAGCCAGCAGCUGGGGACAGCUCACAGGAGAGGAAAAAAAUGGAGCCAAGGAUGGCACUGUCUCUUUAAAAAUAAAUAAAUAGAU